rnacentral:rRNA from 1 species
UUAAUUUUUUUUGGCCAAAACCGUGGAAUACCCCCGGAUACCUCUUCUUUUCGGAGAACCCUUAAAGUUGUAAAAUUAUAAACCCAGGGGAAAAAUACCUUUAAAAACCCCUCCCCUCCCCAAAAAACAAUAGCAUUAAAUAAAAAUUAAUUAAUUUAAAUAUUACUUAGUUUUUAAAACGUAACCACUCCACCUUCAACCUACCCUCUUUUAAAAAUCUUACCAUUAUAUUUAACUAUGCUAUUAUUUUUGUUUUAUUUUGCAUGGCUUGAUUAAUAGCAAGUCUUCGGAUUGGACUUGGUUUUGCGCGUUGUCUGCUCGGUUGCUAGUGUUAUGGGUAGGGAGGGGAGGCUAGGGUUUGGUGUGGUGUGUAGGGUGUAUUUGGGUUGGUGGUUAGACAUUUGUAUUGAAUAUAAUGGGCAAAUGGUUAUUUAUGAGUGGAUGAAGGGGGGGGGGGGGGGUUGGUGUUGGCGGAGUUUGGUUCCGGUCCGGUUUUUGUUUGUUUUAUUUUAUUAAAAUUUUAUUUUUUUCUUUUUCUUGUUUCAUCCCCCAUCCCCAAUCAUAGUUUCUGCUCUGUUUCAAAAUAAAGUUUUUUAGCUCGGUUUCCGGGGGUAGGGCCGAGCCCGCUCGGGCGUCCGUCCGUCUCAUUCGGAGCUCCCGCGGCCGCGCACCCGUGUUGGAACCGGGAGCCUCAGGGGGGGUGGAGAAUACCCCCCCUACUUUAAAAAUCUAUUAUUUCUUAUUUUGGGGGCCCCUUUUGUGGCCGUCCCGCGUUCGGGUCCUACGGGGGGGGGGGGAGGGGGAGGGAAAAAAAAAAAAAAAAAAUUUAUAAGAAUUCUUUCCUUUACUCGCAAUUCGUUCCCGUGGGGGGGGGGAAGG